rnacentral:miRNA from 1 species
GUGGAAAGCAUGCAUCCAGGGUGU